GCAGAUCUUGGUUGGCGUAGCAAAGAUUUAACGGAGAUACCAUCNACCUCCAACGUUGGAUACUGGAGCGGGGAAGGAUUUCGUGCCCACGGCCCUCGUACCCGAGUUGUUCGGAUCCUGAGCCCAACGUUACAUCGUUUUGUUAGGAAAGUGAAGGUGUGUCGGCGGAAUUGCAGCUCUUCCCUCUCUUCACGGGGAGGACCUAAAUGGCUUUCAACUGGCCAUAAUUGAAAAGGGGCAACAGAGAACC
rnacentral:rRNA from 1 species